UCCCGGCUAGCUCAGUCGGUAGAGCGUCAGACUCUUAUACAAGGGUUUCCGAGAUUCAUUUCGGGGUUCAUCUGAAUGUCGUGGGUUCGAGCCCCACGUUGGGAG